rnacentral:rRNA from 1 species
CGAACGGGUGAGUAACGCGUGAGGAACCUGCCUUAAAGAGGGGGACAACAGUUGGAAACGACUGCUAAUACCGCAUAAGCCCACGGCUCGGCAUCGAGCAGAGGGAAAAGGAGCAAUCCGCUUUGAGAUGGCCUCGCGUCCGAUUAGCUAGUUGGUGAGGUAACGGCCCACCAAGGCGACGAUCGGUAGCCGGACUGAGAGGUUGAACGGCCACAUUGGGACUGAGACACGGCCCAG